rnacentral:misc_RNA from 1 species
GUAAUUUUUUCCUACAGUCGAUGUUUUUUUUUUGUGGAUUUUGUGAUUGUAGGGAGGCACAUUUCAUCCCAUCUUUUGACUUUGUUUUCUUGUCCAUAAGUGAUUGAUGGUCUAGAGCUAUUGGUGCAGUAUCCCAACUAGAUUGAAUUAAGGCUUUGUUGAGUUGAUUAUGCGAAUGGACUCACUAAUCAUAGCUUGCUGCCUCUUAGAGCUUUUCUAACAAAGAAUUUGCAUGAUGUUGAAUUUUAGAACUAUGUACUUGGUGAAAAUAUACUUCUUUUAUGAAAUGCUGUCAUCAAUCAACAUUGACAAGGUAUAAGGGCUAUUGGGAUACUUGAAUUCCAUAAGAGUUUACUCAAUUCUUUUGAUGUGAGAUAAAAGAACACAUAUGAAGUUACUGCUAUAAAAGUACACCUUUAAUUGUGUAUUGAAAUAGACUUUAUCAAGACAAGGAUCUUCUCCUUCUUUGGGAGUGAAGUAUAGUUAGUGAAAUCUAAUUUGAUGAAAACCAUCCGUUUUUUAUUGCAGUAAUAGUUGCAAAAAUUGUUUUGACGAGAUCGGUUAUGCAAAGGUUCCAAAGGCAAGAAAUGAUCAUUUGUUUAUGUCAUUAUUGGUCUAAAUGAGAGUGAUUGUUUUUUGCAUAUAAGAAGUGCAUGGUAUUGUAUUGAGUAGCAAAUCCUAAUUUCUUGCUGGAAAAGUAAUUUUGGGGAUAGUUUGAAUGGGACCAGUAAUGGAGUAUAAGAUGAUCAUUAUUAACAUUUUUUUUUGUCAUGUACUACUAUUUCUAUUUC